AGAACGAACGCUGGCGGCAGGCUUAACACAUGCAAGUCGAACGCUCGGAGCAAUCCGGGAGUGGCAGACGGGUGAGUAACGCGUGGGAAUAUACCCUUCGGUUCGGAAUAACUUGGGGAAACUCAAGCUAAUACCGAAUACGGCCUAUGGGCGAAAGAUUGAUCGCCGAAGGAAUAGCCCGCGUCCGAUUAGCUAGUUGGUGGGGUAAUGGCCUACCAAGGCGACAAUCCGUAGCUGGUCUGAGAGGACGACCAGCCACACCGGAACUGAGACACGGUCCGGACUCCUACGGGAGGCAGCAGUGGGGAAUAUUGGACAAUGGGGGAAACCCUGAUCCAGCGACGCCGCGUGUGUGAAGAAGGCCUGCGGGUUGUAAAGCACUUUUAGUGGGGACAAAAAGCUACGGAUUAAUACUCUGUGGUCUUGAUUUAACCCAAAGAAAAGCACCGGCUAACUCUGUGCCAGCAGCCGC
rnacentral:rRNA from 1 species